GAUGAACGCUGGCGGCGUGCCUAAUACAUGCAAGUCGAGCGAACAGAUGAGGAGCUUGCUCCUCUGACGUUAGCGGCUGACGGGUGAGUAACACGUGGAUAACCUACCUAUAAGACUUGGAUAACUUCGGGAAACCGGAGCUAAUACCGGAUCAUAUAUUGAACCGCAUGGUUCAAUAGUUCAAGACGGUUUUGCUGUCACUUAUAGAUGGAUCCGCGCCGCAUUAGCUAGUUGGUAAGGUAACGGCUUACCAAGGCAACGAUGCGUAGCCGACCUGAGAGGGUGAUCGGCCACACUGGAACUGAGACACGGUCCAGACUCCUACGGGAGGCAGCAGUAGGGAAUCUUACGCAAUGGGCGAAAGCCUGAAGGAGCAACGCCGCGUGAGUGAUGAAGGUCUUCGGAUCGUAAAACUCUGUUAUUAGGGAAGAACAAAUGUGUAAGAAACUAUGCACGUCUUGACGGUACCUAAUCAGAAAGCCACGGCUAACUACGUG
rnacentral:rRNA from 1 species